GGUCGUUGAAGGGUUCGGACGUGUUUUUCGAAGCUCUCGACGUCGUGACCUAAUUAUAAUUUGAACUGCGCGGGUAAAGAACGCUCAUUUGCGGCUUGGACAUUGACCAAUACGGACGUGUUUUUAAAGCGCUCUGAAAAAAGUUUUGACUUUUAAAUUUUUUUUACUACGACAGAAUCUUAGUUGACUGAUGGUCUUUGACAAAGACAGACUUGUUUUUGUGAGCUCUGAACAAAAUUUGACUUUUAAAUAUUUUUACGAUUAAAAAGUUUCAGUUGACUUUUGAACGUUGACGAAGACGGACGUACUUUCGUGAGCUCUGACUAUUGAUGAAAAGUUUUCGCGUUAUAGAAUAGCGACUUGGUACUCAGGUUGUUGAAUGACUGGAUGACUGAAGUGUUAGGUUAUUGUUAUGAGAUAACAACUUGACUUUGACUUGAGUUGUGAAAUGAAAUCAUACUCUUAUGCGAUGUUAACUUUUGAACGUUUAGUAUUGACUGACAACGAAAUUUUGUGAGCGUUAUAUAUGAAAUGUUUGACUUACAUUAAUUUUUUUGAACGACUUGACUUCACUUUAAGUUUUGACAUCGGACUGAUCGGACGUGUUUUUUUAAGCUCUGACUGUUGUGAAUAAUUAAAUUUAUGUUGUGGUGUCAAGCGAUUGACUGUCAGUUGAGGUUCAGAUGUCGAGCUGUGCGGACGUGUUCAUCGAGCUGCUGUCUACAAAAAACUGGGCUGUGGUGAGUAUUGCAGAUUUAACUUGUAUGUGUGGUUUUUAGUUAACGAUGCUUAAUGAAAACUGUUAUUGUACACUUAGUAUGGAAUGAUGUGAAUGAUGAUAUGAUGGGUAGAAUUAAUCAGUGCUUGUGUCUAGAAAUGCUGAAUGUUUAUUGAAAAGGCUAAAUGCUAGCCAGUACUAAGAGUUGAGCUACCGUGGGAAUGUGAAACGAACUGAUGGUGUAAUAUGAUGGUGUAUUGACAUACUUUUCUUAUAUGUACUAAAUAUGAUAUUGCUUUACUUGUAUUUGCAUGCUGUUAACAUUUCUAUUUUGUUCCAGUGUGCUGUGGUGAGUACUGUAGAUAUUACUUGAUUUUUAGUGUCUAUGAAUGCUGAUGUAUGAUAGCUAUAGCAUGAGCUCAAUGCUAACCAGUAUUAUGAGUUGAUGUAUUGUGGUGAUGCUAAUCGAACUGAUGAUGUAACAUGAUGGUGAACACUUACUGAAUGCAUAAAAUUUAUUGAAUUGCAUUUGUUGAUAUGCACUAUAAUAUGAUAAAUGUAUUGCUUUACAUGUAUAUUUCAUGAUGUUUAAUUUCAGUGGGCUGUGGUGAGUACUGUAGAUUGUAUUGCCUAUGUAUAGAAUUCAAUAAAAGAUUAUGACUGAAAACUGCUUUUGAUUCUUUUUGAACAGUUUUAGGGACUAUAAGUCUAUAACAAAAAUAUGUCGGUUGGCGUUCAUACAGCAAUGUUUUGAGUAGUACAGAAAUGUUUCUACGUUUGUGGUCGCCAGUUGUCUGUGAUGUGUAAAGUGAAAAAUACACGGAGCUUUGAAUACAACAAACAGUUACUGUUUUAACACAGAUUGUGUGCUAUGCAUUUUUCGAUGUAGAUCUUUUUCAGAUUUGACAUGAAAUGUAGACCUGACAUUUGAACAGAGCUGGGAAACGAAAAGGUAAGUUUGUUAAAUUUCACAAUGAACACUUGUGUUUUGACAAAAGAAGAGAUAAAGUGAGUUUUGUCAUCAUCAUGGUUUCUUUCAGAGUAUAACUCGUGAACAGAUGAAAACCUAUUUUUUGCUAGAUUUUCAUGUACUCUUUUUUUGGAUGAUAAGUAUGUCAGUAACUCAAAAUCAUACGGCUAGUACAGUAUGGAACAUGAAUGCUUUGUUCAGAUUUUCAGAUGUGUGCUGGCAGUUCAAGUCUGGCAGCUGAAGUGAACAGUCGUGUUUUCUGGAGCUCCAACAAUAUGCUAGAAGGUAAGUAACUAUGUUUGUUUUGCAUUGCAUGUUUUUAUAUGUUUCAGACUUUCAAGCAGAGAUGUCAUGCUGACUGGAGUUGAGCACAGGGCAGUGACAAAGUGAAAGGUAAGUACUUUUGACUGAAUGUUUGUUCUAUGCAUGUUUUGUUUUAAUACAUUUCAGGAGUGCUUAUCCAGUGAUGAUAUGACAGUUGGAGUGAACAGUGGAGCCAAGCAGUCUUGUUUUUAGAGCUACUCAACAAGCCUUGAAGGUAAGUUUAGAAUUUCUCAAUGUUAGUGAAUUGAAGUACUGUCACUUGCUUUUGGACAGUCGAACAGAACAGACGUGGUUGCGAGAGCUCUCAUAUCUGUUGUGUUAAACUGUUUUUAUGAUAUGUUAUGUUUGUUUGUUUGUUUGUGAUGUACUAUUUUUCAGAUGCUGAUGGCAGUGAUGGGUUUUCAAGCUGACCUGAACAGAAAAGCACUCAUAUGGUAAGUACAAAAUAGUUGUUAUAUGGGAUGUUUUGUGCAUGCUUUUAUGUUUCAGGUGUACUUGCUGACAGCGACGAAGACGAAUCAAGAAGAGGAACAUUGUUGAGAAAGUGAUUGGGACUUGCAAACAGGGUAAGUGUAACACUUGUGUUUGUUUAAUUUGUAACAUGCGUGCUUUGCUCUGUUUCAGAUUUCACAUGCAGAAAUUAAACAGGAUUUCAACUGCUGAGACACAAUUCAUCAAAAGUAAGGUAAGUUUUAAUUCAUUGAUUUGAGUUGUACAAUGUGUUCUUUACUUUAUUUCAGAUUCGAGUCACUGGUUUACACAUGGAAGAAGAUUUCCACGUCUGUUACUCAACUCUACAGAAGCAAGGGAGCUGUGGUGAGUAUUGUAGUAUACAUUUGUUUCAAUAAACCAUGAUUAAUGAAAACUGAUUUCGAUUCUUUUUUACAGUUUUAGGGAUUAUCACUCUAUAACAACUCUGUCGGUUGGUGUUCGUGAAUGUGAGCUUAAUGUUUGAGUAGUACAAAAAUGUCUUUACUUUUGUGAUCGCCAGUUGUCUGUGAUUUAAAGUGAAAAAUACACAGAGCUAUGAAGCAUACACUUGUUUCAAUAUUUUAUCAAUGAUUCAUCAAUGAUAGUGUGCUAUGCAUGUUUUGAUUUAGUUCGUUUCAGGUAUGACAUGACAUGAAGAGUUGACAGUCGAACAGAGCUGAGCAACGCAGAAAGGUAAGUGUGUUUCAUUUUAGUAUGAACACUUGUAUUUUGUUUUUAUAUGGUAUGUUUUGUGCAUGCUAUGUUUCAGGUGUACUUGUAGUCAGCGACGAAGACGAUUCAAGAAGAGGAACAUUGCUGAGAAAGUGAAUGGGACAUGCAAACAGGGUAAGUGUUACAAUUGUUGGUUUGAUUUUUACCAUGCAUACUUUGCUUUACUCUGUUUCAGAUUUCACAUGCAGAAAUGGUCUCAUAGCAGUGCCAACAGUGAAUAAGGAUUUCAUCUGCUGUGAAACAACUCAACAGAAAGUAGGUAAGCAUUGAAUGAAUGCACUUGAGCUGUACAAUUUGAUGUGAUGCUUUUCUCUGUUUCAGAUUCAAGUUCCUGGUGUAGACAGAGAAAUGUGUUUGAAGAAGGAAUUCUACUACUGUGAUUCAACUCUACAGAAGCAAGGUAAGUAGAAACAAAAUUUUGGUUUAAUUUAACUCAUGUGUUUUGCACUGCAUGCUAUUUUUCAGGUCUCUCAUGCAGUGAGGGAAAAGAAGAAGAUUUCAAGAAAAAAUCACUGCUGCAACUCAGGCCGAUAACAAGGUAAGCGUUUACUAUAUUGUAUACAAAAUGUUUUUCUGUUUUACUCUGUUUCAGGUUUCAAUUGCAGAGAUGUUGCAGAGAUGAUUUGACAGCUUGUGGCAGAAAAGAAAUUCAGCAUCUGUUUCUCGACUCUAGCCACGAGGUAAGUCAAAACAAAUAUACUGGUUUGUAUGUAAUGUUGUUAUGCCCUUCUAUGUUUCAGACUUACAUUGCUGUGACUGUUCCACAGUGGGUCAAAAAAGAGACGAAUACAGGUUUCAAGAAGAAAAUUGGCUGUUAAAAACCUGCACAAAAUAUGAGGUAAGUAAACUACUCUUUUGGUUUGUUUUGUGCUUUGUUAUGCUUAACUAUUUUUCAGAUUGGAAUGGUGGGUCGUUACAGAGCAGACUUUUGGACUACUGAGAAGUUGAGAAACAGAGAAUGAUUCAAGAUCAGCUAGGUAAGUCUUGAUUAUUAUGCAUUGCUAAAUGUUUUUUUCAUUCCAGUAUGGCUGUGGUAAGUACACAAACUUUCUAUAAUUUAAUAUUGAACUGUUUUUAUGACCUGUAUUCUGCAUUGUAAAAUGUCUGUUUUUCAUUUCAGUAUCCUGUGGUAAGUACACUAACUUUGUAUAAUUUCAUAUUGAAAUGUUUUGAUGACUUGUAUCCUGCUAUGCAAUGCUUAAUAUAUUUUUCAUUUCAGUGUGGCUGUGGUAAGUACAAUUGCCUUCUUUAAUUUUCAUAUUGAACUGUUUUGAUGAUUUGUAUACUGCUAUGCAAUGCUUAUUGUUUUUUACAUUUCAGUGUGGCUGUGGUAAGUACAAUUGCCUUUCAUAUUGAACUGUUUUGAUGACCUGUAUUUUGCAUUGUAAAAUGUGUUUCUUUUUCAUUUCAGUAUGGCUGUGGUAAGUACACAAACUUUCUUUAAUUUUCAUAUUGAACUGUUUUGAUGACUUGUAUUCUGCUAUACAAAAUGUGCUUUUUUCAAUUUCAGGUCAGCAAUGGUAAGUAUAGUGUGUUUUUUUAUGUAUAAUUUUGUAUACAUAUUGUUUUUUUUCAUCAUAGCAUGUAUUUUAUAUUUAUGCUUUGUGUAAGUAAAAUGUUCAUAAAUCAUUCUUAUCUUCAAACUAAAAAUGUAUUGUGCUAUGCAAAAUGUCUGUAUGAUUUCAGUUGCCAGAGGUGAGUACCAUUACAGUUGAAAAGUUAGUUUUGUUUAGUUAAAGUUUUGGUUCACAGUUCUGUUUGUUAUUUGGCAAAAUUUACAUGUAUGCAUUGAGUCUUGAUUUCAGCUCGAUUGUGGACUGAAGAAGAUUGCCCGCAGAGGGAUUGGAUACAAAAUACAAAGUAAGUACUGAGUUUCUUACUAAAAGUUUUGAGUUGUAUUCAUUGUAUGUUAAUAUGCUAUGAUUGCUAUGAACAUGACUUUUGUAUUUCAGCGAAGACAACAUAGGUAAGUAAAAUUGUUAUCUGUUUCAUGUUUACUGUUACAGUUCAAUAUUGUGUUUAUAAAUUGUAAGUUGUACAAACACAUUCAAAAGUUUCUAAUCAUGCUUUCGAUUUCAUUUCAGCUUUACUGCUAGACGAGUGUUCUCUACUACUUGACGAGUCAGCUUUACUACCAGGCGAGCAGUGACAACAAGGCGCCUUUGUGGAAACAACACAACAAAAAACUGUACUGCUAGACGAGCAGUGACAGAAAGGCGCCUGAACAUGCAACACAAAACAAAAAAUGCCAAUAUACAAACCUUGAUGUGAACACCGAGUAGUCAAUGCAUACGUGUGGCGUACAGCUGCGACAAAACCGUGGGUCCAUCGCACCGAUAACUCGAACAUUGGACCGCGUAUGGACAUCAGUGCAACUUUGUGAAUCCAUGUAACUUUGUGAAUCCAUGUAACAUUGCGAAUAUGUGUCGAUCGAAAAAUGUGUACAUUCUGCACUGAAACGAACUCGGUGUUGCAAGUGGCAAGUGUUGACAGUGUGUAUGUUUAUGUUUAUGUUUUUACAUGAAAACUAAAGGAGAUUGUUCUCCUACCUUUUUUUUCCUUGUUUUAUUGCGCUGGCCAGCAAUAUUGAUGUAUGUGUUUGUGUUUAAACUAUGCAAUACCAAAAUCAAACAAAAAUAAACAUUAACAGUCAUUAACUGUG